rnacentral:rRNA from 1 species
UACGUAGGGCGCAAGCGUUGUCCGGAAUUAUUGGGCGUAAAGAGCUCGUAGGCGGUCUGUCGCGUCGGCUGUGAAAACCCGAGGCUUAACCUCGAGAUGUCAUCGGAAACCAUCUGGCUAGAGUCCGGAAGAGGAGAGUGGAAUUCCUGGUGUAGCGGUGAAAUGCGCAGAUAUCAGGAAGAACACCAAUGGCGAAGGCAGGUCUCUGGGCUGACACUGACGCUCAUGCACGAAAGCGUGGGGAGCAAACAGG